GCCGGGGUGGCGUAAUUGGCAGCCGCGAAGGUCUUAGGAGCCUUUGCCGAAAGGCGUGCGGGUUCGAGUCCCGCCCCCGGCA
rnacentral:tRNA from 1 species